rfam:Gossypium raimondii Chr02_contig_117, whole genome shotgun sequence.
UUAAUUCGAUGCAAAGCGAAGAACCUUACCCGGGCUUGAUAUGCUGUGAAUUCUCUUGAAAGAGAGGGGUACCUUCGGGAACACGAACACAGGUGGUGCAUGGCUGUCGUCAGCUCGUGCCGUAAGGUGUUGGAUUAAGUCCCGCAACGAGCACAACCCUCGUGUUUAGUUGCCAGUAACUUAUCGUAUUAAAAUUUGUAAUUGAGGUAAUGGUUUAAUACUUAUGAACUACUAAGUAUUCGAUAUGCUUACAUUGUUGUCU